AAUACUGCGUAGUCUACAAGGCCAGAAAUAGUUCGUUUGUCACUGUAGAAUACUCUUCCCCUCCGUGAAGCCUCAAGCAACAUUUCAUUUCUUUCUAUCAAAUAAUCCCUUGAAACUCUUUCCCUCCCUCUCUCUCUCUAAAACCCCAAGUUGUUCCGUACAAAAUUGAAGUAAUGCAGAGGCAAACAUCCGGUUUUAUGGAUUGGUUACAUAGCUUCUGGAUAUUAAUCGCAGUUGUUAUUAUACACGCUCUUGGGACUGCCUCAAUUGCUGUACCGCGUUCGAGCUGCUAUGCUAUUGAUAAUUCCAGUCGACUCGUAGACUUUAGCGGGUGGAUUGGGCAACAUUUUGAGUAUGAAGGGAAGGACAAUGUUGAUUUAGUGGUUCGAUUCUGCAAGGAUGUUGAGCAAAGAUCACAAAUGGGAUAUGUGGAUUUUGGCCAAUUUGAUAAGUUCAACCAUUUUGUUGCUGGUUCAGGACGUGCUGAUUUUCAUCAAGGGUUUUACAAUGGUGACCUGGCCAACUGUGAGCUUACAUAUGACAAACUGGGACGUACAGCUCAGGUGGAUAUCAUAUGUGGAAAUUGUUUAAAUGAACGAUGCACAGGUGGAUCCGGAUGCAUAUGCAAUGUCACAUAUGAAUCAAAAUGCAGAGUUUUAGUUGAACUUGCUAUUCCAUGUGAGAAACGUGGCCCACGAGUAUUUGAGGGCUUCACCGUUGGUUUUCAUCCGCGAUCAUGGGAAAUUGUUUACAAUGGCAUGACCCAACCUGGUUAUGAAAAGUCCCACCAGGACUUUAGCUAUCCAUAUGACAGCUUCAGCACUGAACAAACUCAUGUUGCCCUUUACAUGACUGCAAUUGCAUCCCUCUCGACCUUGGUGCAAACACCCAUUAUUAAGGUUUAUCCAGAGGAAGGCCUAAAGGUUAGGUUGUCAGGUUCAGGUGCAGUUGGGAAUCCUCCAACAACUUUGUCACCUACAAUUUUGGUUGUGGAUUGGAGAUGUCAGGAGGUUCGUGAUGCACCCUAUGAAGUUAAUGUCACAAUCCCAAUAGAGGGCUAUGAGCCUGUUCAGUUUUUUCUUUCGAAAAUGUGUGAACGCAGUCAGGAUGAAGAAGAAGACUCUAGACGGGGAUGGGCUAUAUUUGGGAUUGUGUCUUGCAUAUUCUUUGUCUCAUCAACAGUGCUUUGUUGUGCGGGGUUCAUCUACAAGACACGCGUUGAACGCCUGCGAGGAAUUGAUGCAUUGCCAGGCAUGACAAUACUAUCUGCAUGUUUAGAAAUUGCAAGCGGCGAAAUGAACGGGUACAGACAAGUAGAAGGCCUCAAUAGCGGUUAUUCACGAGCCGAAGCCUCUUGGGAACAAGAACGACCGUCUGCCUCGGCACAAGGGACAUGGAUAGCAAGUGAAAAGAAAUAUGGUUCAAUUUAAAUUUGAUCUUUUAGGAAAUUUUGCAGAUUCAUGAGCAUCAAAUUGGUUAUUAGGGUACAAUAUGGAGUUUGUGCACAGUACAUAGUUAUAACAGAGCUCGAGUCAAAUCAAUGAGCUAGAUUUGUCAAAAGUACUCGAUGCUUAAGAGCCAUCACUCUCAUAAUUAGGUUUUUGAAAUUGGGAGCCGUGACUCUCAUAAUUAGGUUUUUGAAAUUGGGAGCCGUCUCUCUCUCUCUCAUAAUUAAAUUUCUUUUAAUGGUAUGCUUGGAUUAAGGAGAAAAAAUCCAUAGAAUUGUUCAAUAACUGGCCUGUGAAGAAUCUUUCCAGAACAAGGAGAUGCGUGUUUGUAGAGGAGAACAGGCUUGGAAACUUCUUUUUCCUCUUUCAUGAUCUCUUUUUCUUUUUCCCCAUACAAGUGUUUUCUGUGUGUUUGACAGGGGGAGGGGGAGAGGGAGAGAGAGAGGAUUUAAUAAAUAUUCUAUAAGUCAGCUGGAAUUUAAAAUUUUAUGUAAUUUUUAAUA